rnacentral:rRNA from 1 species
UACGGAGGGUGCUAGCGUUGUUCGGAAUCACUGGGCGUAAAGGGCGUGUAGGCGGUCUGUUAAGUCUGAUGUGAAAUCCCCUCGCUUAACGAGGGAACUGCGUCGGAUACUGGCAGACUUGAGUACCGGAGAGGAAGGUGGAAUUCCCGGUGUAGCGGUGAAAUGCGUAGAUAUCUGGAGGAACACCGGUGGCGAAGGCGGCGUUCUGGACCGGCAUUGACGCUGAGGAGCGAAAGCCAGGGGGAGCAAACGGG